ACAGAAACUUAAUCAUCAUAGAAGCAUAGAAAUACAAUCCAUAGCCUGAAAUAGUAUGCAACAAAGAUCAGAUGAGGGCACGCAGAAUUUCAGAACCAUCUGUCAGAACAUAAUGUUGCUAUCGUAAGCAAAUGACUAUUGGAAAUAGUACCUUCUCUCAUAGUGGUGCAUAUACUUUAUAGUCAUAUGCAUUAAAAAGGAAGAAAAUUGGAAAAGAAAAGUAAGAACGAAUGUAUUAAAAUAAGAAAAAACAUUAUAGAAUAGGGAUUUCAGUCAAAUAAAUUGCAGAAUGUCAUUACCUUUCUCUCCCUACCUCUCACGUAGAGGCAAGAAAAGCUUGAUUUAAUAAUAAACGUAAGACUGUAGAACUCAGUUUGUAUCGCCGUAAAAUACUUGAACGAAAAGAAGAAUUUUUCUUAUCAUUUUAAUGUUUGGAUGACAUUUGAAAAAUUAGUGAAAAUAAAACAAGUCCAACUAAUUGAAUUUAUAAUUACAAUAAAUGAGUCGCUAAUGUGUAUCAGGAGAAAUUGGAGGAUAGACAUAAUGGAGGUGUAAUGGAGGGGAUCCUAAUCCAUACACUAAUCCAUAAAAUAAAUAAUAUGGUUUAUAACCAACAAACACCCAGAAUUAUAGAUCAAAAAUAUGAAUAUAUUUAAAACCAUCUAAACGCAUGAAAUAAUCAAAUCCUACAAAAGAAAGUGCAAAAUGAUCAACAAAAUGAAAUUGGUAGCAUAAGAAUCAAAUUAUCAAUGUUUUAAACUAUCAACUCAACCAUAUUCCAAACAACCCCUAUUACUCAUUUCUGACCACCAUUCAAUCCCAAUAGCAUCCAAGUCCUUUAUGCAAUAAGCGACACAGAUAAUUUGUUCAAGAAUUUUAUCAAACACUUGAGAAUCAUAGAAUAUUUUUAUCAAUGCUGUAGAAUUCUUCAGCACCAAAAAGAAUAACAAGGUGAACAUUUUAAUUCAAAAUUCAAAAGGAUCCAUAAAAUGAAAUUGGUAGCAUAAGAUUUAAUCAACAAAAUUCUAAACGAUCGACUCUAAACACUAUUCCAAACAACCCCCUAUUACUCCUUUUCGACUACCAUACAAUCUCCUGGGCAUGUUCGGGAAUGACUUAUUUUAAAAUGACUUAUAAGUUAACUUAUAAGUUGUUUUAAGUUGCGACUUAUAAGUAAAAGUGUUCAGUUGAUAAUGAUUUGUAAGUCAGAAAUUAAGUUAGAACAAGUUAUGAAGGUGUUCGGCUGAGACUGGCUUAUAAGUUAAAAUAAAUGUAAAAAUUACUAAAAAAAACAUUAUAAAAAGAUUCAUUGAUUCAAUAUCAUAUCGAAGGUUAUUAUUGGUAAACAACUUAUUUAAACAGAUUAUUGAUAAACAACUUAUUAUUUAAACAGCUUAUUAGCAAACAGUUUAUUAUUUAAACAUUUUAUUGGUAAACAAUUUAUUAUUUAAACAACUUAUUAUUGGUAAACAAUUUAUUAUUUAAACAGCUUAUUGGUAAACAACUUAUUGGCAAACAACUUAUUGGCAUGGGCGGAUACAUAUAAGGGGCAGCAUAGGCAGUUGCCCUUAGUAGAUAUUUUUUAUAUAAGUAUACGAGCAUGACAGAUAUGUAAAUUAAUAAAUUUAAGGGGGCGGAUUAAUGAAAGAGUUAAAUUUGGAAGGGACAAAAAAUUUCAUAAACCAAUUUUGAAUAAAGUACAAUAAUCUUCUUAGUUUUAAGGUUUGGUGAAAUCUUAAAAGUAUUUUUUGUAUAGCUUUUGGUUUUAAAUAUUCAUCAACAUGUGAACUGUGAGGGAUUGUUUGAUUCAAGUUUGAAUUUUUUUUGUUAUUGAAUUGGUUGACUGUGAUUGUUUGAUUCAAGUUUGAAUUUUUUUGUUAUUGAAUUGGUUGACUGUGGUUAUUGUUUGUUUGGCCUGAUUGAGUUUUUGUUUUUGGGUUAUUUGAUCUUCAAUUGAAAAUAUGAUCAUUUUGGUUGAGUAGUUUCCAUCUUUAAUUUUAUUGGGAUAGCUUACAAUGAUUUUGCCUUAUUUUAUAAUGGAAAAUGACUAUGAGCAUUUAGCAGCCCCUCAUUUCUAGUUGUUAUAAUCACUUUACUUCCAUGCGUCUAACUAAUAAACCCUGUAUAAUUUUUGGUGUUCUGAGUAUAAAUUUUGGAUGAUUUGUUUCUCUUAUUUUAAGUAAAACUUAUUUAAAACUUAUAAAAAGAUAUCAAAACUAGUUUAUGCUUUGAAAUUAAUUAAUGAUUUUGUUUGAAUAAAUAAAGUAUAUUUGGUUUGAGGCUUUGAGCAUUUGGAAAAUCAUUCAAAUUGAACUAUGACAAAUAACCGAAGGAAGUUUCUAAAUUGUGUCUAAAUGUUUUUUAUUUGAAAUUCAUUUUUUAAUUUGAAUUAUGAAUAUUUAUUGCAAUUUGUAAAUAUUAUUAUGAUUAAUUAAUAUUAUGAUUAGUUCAAGUUUUCUUUAUUUAACUUCAACAAAAAAAUUAGUUAAAAUCCGCCCCUGUUGAUAAAAAUUCCUGGAUCCGCCCCUGCUUAUUGGUAAACAACUUAUUAUUUAACCAGCUUAUUAUUGGUAAACAGUUUAUUAAUAGUAAACAGCUUAUUAUCAGUAAACAGCUUAUUAUUUAAACAACUUAUUAUUAAAACAGCUUAUUGGGAUUUCCCACUAUAAUGUAAUCCUGAUGACCAUAUGACCAUUCAUUCAAUAAACUUAUCUUUGAGAUUAUUCUCUCUUUUCCUUGUGGACUCGAGGUUAUUAGUUGAUUCAAGACCCCAAGGUGUUGUUUUACCUAGAGGAUUCUAGAAUUGGAUUGAAGACAAGUUCUACUUUCUUGUGCUAUCAUUUUUCUUUGUGUCAAGAAUUAAUUAAGUUGGGCUGGGUUCAAGAGAUGUCAUUUUAAGCUCGGAUUAGGGUGUUCUCAAAAAAAAUGCUCAGGUUAGGGUGGGUUUAGGUAGAAUCUGUGAUAGGUAGGUUGAGCAUGGGCAAAAUCCAAUGUGCUUGUGUUGAAACCUUGAAAGAUAUAUGAUUGAGACUAAAGAUGGUAUUUUGAAGGACAACUGAAUAUUGAGGCAGAAGCAGCACAGCACCACAACCAUAUAGAUUUACUGGAAUUAUAUGCACAGCCCAAUACCAUUCUUCAUUUUACCCAAAUCAUAACCUUAAUACAUUAUCAAACAAUACAUAUUGUAAACCUGAAAUGCAGGCAUCAUAAUAUAGUUAUUGUUAGAGUUGGACUAGAUUGAUUGAAUUAUGGUGGGCAAACCUGGCCAAAGAGAAAACUUUGGGACAAACCUUUAUAGUAUCCAAAAAACAUAAAAAAAAUAAGACAUUGUCGUUUUUUAGGAACUUUUAUAAUGUAAGACCCUCUUAUAUAAAAUCAAAAAAUUAGUAAAUCUAUGACAUUGAAAUUAUAAUGAAAUUUCAAUACAUAGAUUACAGUUGGUAAUAAAAAACUAUUUAAGGUGACAAAAUAUAAAAACACUGUAACAUAAAAUUUCUAAGUUCAUAAUCAUCCCUCAAGUGCCAAUACAAGUUGAGAAGUUAUUGCUAUGUGAUGGAAAAGAAUUACCUCAUGAUUUGAAAACACAUCUUGUUUCAAACAGUUACUGAAAAUUACUAAAAAUUAAGCUGCUCACAUUUUCCUAAUUAAGCAAAACCCAGUAUACAACAAUUCAUUCAAUCAAUCAAUCAAUCAAACAUUUGAACCACAUAAAUUAACAACAAACGGAAUUGAAUCGAAACUCACAUGCUCUGAAACUAAAGAGGUAAAGAAGAAGAAAAAUCACAUGUCAAAGAUUCAAACAUAACAUAAUAUACAUAUAUACAUAUCAAAUAUUUGGUCUAGGGUUUGGUACCUGACAGCAAUAGAAGAAGUAGAGUGAGUAACAGGAGUAGCAACCGCGGAGCAAGGAGGGAGAAGCCAAGAAAUUGACAGAUCGAGCGCAGAGAGAGCUUUGUGAAAAAAUGUUCACGUUAGAAGAAGAGAAGAGAAAGAGAUCAGGGUUUUUAGGUCAAAAUAGCUUAUUAAGAAUGACUUAUAAGUCAUUUUUAAAUAAGUUUUAAUUGUUUACUUAUUUUUUUUGACUUAAAAAUGAACUUAGUUAGAAAAUAAGUAAUUGUCAAACAAUCAAACAGUAGCAAAUGACUUAUAAGUUAGUAGUUUGACCAACUUAUAAGUCAUUUAGACGGAGAGAAGAAGAGAUAGGUAGUAGUUAUAGAGGUGAAUGGAAAAGAAGAGAAAAGAAUAGUAGUGAUGAUAGAGGUGAACGGAGAAGAAGAGAAAUCGACGGUCGGUGGAGGGAGGGAAGUAGGGGUCGAUUGUGGUGGAUGCAUGGGUGGUGUAGAAGAAAGGUUUGUAGAAGGGGGAAGUUAAAAAAGC
rnacentral:lncRNA from 1 species